rnacentral:rRNA from 1 species
UACGGAGGGUGCAAGCGUUAAUCGGAAUUACUGGGCGUAAAGCGCACGCAGGUGGCUGAGUCAGUCGGCUGUGAAAGCCCUGGGCUCAACCUGGGAAUUGCGGUCGAUACUACUCAGCUAGAGUAUGGGAGAGGGCAGUGGAAUUCCCGGUGUAGCGGUGAAAUGCGUAGAUAUCGGGAGGAACAUCAGUGGCGAAGGCGGCUGCCUGGCACAAUACUGACGCUCAGGUGCGACAGCGUGGGGAGCAAACAGG